rnacentral:rRNA from 1 species
UAGUAACUGCGAGUGAAGCGGGAAAAGCUCAAAUUUUGAAUCUGACGAUCAGUCUUGGUCGUCCGAGUUGUAAUCUAGAGAAGCGUUUUCCGCGCUGGACCGUGUACAAGUCUCCUGGAAGGGAGCGUCAUAGAGGGUGAGAAUCCCGUCUUUGACACGGACCUACCAGUGCUAUGUGAUGCGCUCUCGACGAGUCGAGUUGUUUGGGAAUGCAGCUCAAAAUGGGUGGUAAAUUCCAUCUAAAGCUAAAUACAGGCGAGAGACCGAUAGCGAACAAGUACCGUGAGGGAAAGAUGAAAAGAACUUUGGAAAGAGAGUUAAACAGUACGUGAAAUUGCUGAAAGGGAAACGCUUGAUGUCAGUCGCGUCCGCCAGGGAUCAACCUUGCUUUAUCGCUGGGUGCAUUUCUUGGUUGGACGGGUCAGCAUCAGUUUCAAUCGUCGUAGAAUGGCCAAGGGAACGUGGCACCUCCAGGGGUGUGUUAUAGCCUUCGGUCGUAUGCGUCGGU